rnacentral:rRNA from 1 species
UACGUAGGGCGCAAGCGUUGUCCGGAAUUAUUGGGCGUAAAGAGCUCGUAGGCGGUUUGUCGCGUCUGCUGUGAAAACCUAAGGCUCAACCUUGGGCUUGCAGUGGGUACGGGCAGACUAGAGUGCGGUAGGGGUGACUGGAAUUCCUGGUGUAGCGGUGGAAUGCGCAGAUAUCAGGAGGAACACCGGUGGGCGAAGGCGGUGGUCUGGGCC